rnacentral:sRNA from 1 species
GUUGAAAACUAUUUCCAAACCCCCUCCUAGGCCUAAGCUUGUCUUGGGCCUUCGAGAAUUUCUGGAAGGGCUCCCUUUGGGGUAAAGCCCUACAAUUUUCAGUUCAAUUUUUAGUUGUGGCAUUGUGUCUCUCUUUCUCGAAGGGCUCAGUGAAUUUGUGGAAGACACUCUUUUGCAUUGGAGACGGUGCAGCCGGUUUGAUCGCAUCGAACCGGUGGCUGUGGUGGUACCGAUUGGACGGUCCAUAUUGUGACGAUGAAAGAUAGAAUUGAGAACUGCUGGAGAGUAUGAGAGUAACGCAUCAUUAUUUGGAGAGAUUAUGUUUAUCCGAUCUUUUGGAUCUGUGAUAUUUAUGUUUUGGAGGUUAUGUUAACUAUGUAUAAAUGAGUUUGAAGAUUGAAAAUAUUGCUUAGAAGGAAAUCAACAUUGCCGGAUCUUUUUAUAUUUAAGACACCAAGUGUUAUCUUACACAAGCUCGG